rfam:Danio rerio chromosome 4, GRCz11 reference primary assembly.
UAGCUCAGUCGAUAGAGCAUGAGACUCUUAAUCUCAGUGUCGUGGGUUAGAGCCCCAC